rnacentral:lncRNA from 1 species
CUCUCUGGCCUAUCAUUUGUUGGUCGAUCCGGCUGGCGGCUCCUGCAUCUCCUGCCUCUCUAUGGGGGCCCCUUUUUUUAGACUAGUUUGCUGCUAGGAGUCCCUAGAGUCGAAUUAAUAAUCAAUAGAAGUCCCAAUAGAAGUUUACUGACCUGGCUCUUCAAUCGACGAUCUACUGCUCCCUCUUAAUAGCAGAUGCCCAUGCUUUGAUUCGAAAGCCCUAGCCAGUGAUGAAUCCCCAGGUAUUCAGUGUCUGGUUCGAUAGGACCAGGAAGAGAGGACUCUUUUUUUCCUCCUCCCUUCAGUCCAGUUUGAACCCGUCCCAACAACGAACACCUUCCUACUGCAAGGUGAGA